AUUGAACGCUGGCGGCAGGCCUAACACAUGCAAGUCGAACGAGUGGCGGACGGGUGAGUAAUGUCUGGGAAACUGCCCGAUGGAGGGGGGUAACUACUGGAAACGGUAGCUAAUACCGCAUACACUCGGAUGUGCCCCGAUGGGCUUAGCUUGUAGGUGAGGUAACGGCUCACCCAGGCGACGAUCCCUUGCCGGUCUGAGAGGAUGACCAGCCACACUGGAACUGAGACACGGUCCAGACUCCUACGGGAGGCAGCAGUGGGGAAUAUUGCACAAUGGGCGAAAGCCUGAUGCAGCCAUGCCGCGUGUAUGAAGAAGGCCUUCGGGUUGUAAAGUACUUUCAGCGGGGAGGCGUGACCCGCAGAAGAAGCACCGGCUAACUCCGUGCCAGCAGCCGCGGUAAGUC
rnacentral:rRNA from 1 species